CCACCCCACCCCCUUCUUUAGAGAUGACUGAAGAAGCUCUCUCUGAUGAACCUUGCUCACCCUACCCUCCCACUCCGAGAGGAGGGAGGAAUCCUGAAAACCAGCUUAGCAAAACCCAACUAUGUCCUGGGCAAAGUCUCAGCAAUUCCUGGCCAGGCAUUUGGGACUCUGGAGGGGCCUAAUAUCCUCUCCCAACUGCUCCCUCCCUGGCAGCAGAUGCCCUGGGGACUUUGAUGUGCAUGCAGCCUGGUCGCUCUCCAGCCUCAGGUUGCCUAGGGGAUGCAAUGGGUGGAGGAAGGCAGUUAGUUCCCACAUCAGCUCCCUGUCAGCAGCAAGCCUCAAUGCUUCAGGGGAACACAGCUUGUGCGAGGGGGCGACUGAGAGACUUCCAGCCAGCUGGCCCCAGGCCAGGGGUAGAGCCGUCAUAGCCAUCCCAAAUGGAGUGCCUGCCAUGUGCUACAUGGUCCCCACACCAAGCACUUACACCCACUAUCUUGGAAUCCUUAAAGCAAUACCUGAAGUCAGAAGUACUAUGCCUGUUUUGUAAGUGAGAAAACUGAAGUUACGUGACUUCCCCAAGGCCACACAGCUACAAAGCAACUGAAUGAACUGCAAAGCAUUCCUCUUUCUACUAAGCACAGUGGCUUAAGUAGGUUUCAAAUGUCCAGCCCUGCAAAUAAAAUUUUUCACAUCCUGCCUUUUCUCUUUCCUCCCUUCCUAUGAAAGGGCCUGGGAGUUGCUGCCAGAUGCCCCUUGUCCCCCGCAGCAAUGAGCACACACUCUUGCCUCCUCUGCUGCUGAGGGCACCCAUACCCCUCACUCCACAGCUCCAAGGGACGAGCAUCAUCUAACUUUGGCAAAGAGCUUUGGCCCGGUGGACCCCAAGGACCAUCCGAGGGGUCGCUGAGCUGGGGACUGGCAGAUAGGGGCUUCCUGCGAAGGAGAUGGUCACCUGUAGUGUCGCAGAGAAGGUGCCUCCGGAUCCCUGUGCCCAGCCUCUGGAAGCGCCUUCAGCUCCUUAUCAAAUAUUAACACGCCUCCCUGCCACUUCCUACCUAAGCGAAUAAUUAAGAGCUCGCCACACCAUUAACCUUUAAACGAAAAAUCUGGCCGGAAAGACCGGCUUGGCCGGGACCUCGGGGCUUCGGGUGCCCCCCGCCAGGCUCCCACUACAGCCCUGGGGGCUGGAGCGGGGAAAAGGGCUGGCGGCCUCCGGGGACAAGGAAGCCAGGGUGGGAAGCCGGGAUGCCAGAGCCCCACCAUACCCAAUUUGUGCCUUUGGUCUAGGCCGGGAGCAGCCGCCCAGCAUUGAGCCCCAGCGGGAUGGACAGCGACCACGCACAGACUGAGGAGGACCAGACACGGUGUAAAACUCCAGAAACGGCGAAAAACGGACGCGUGCGUCGUGGCAGAUCAGAGAAGCAUCCUUAUCACUGACUUGCACAAUCACCUCGCCAACGGCUGCGGGACGACGAGUGCACACACUCUCCCCACACCUGCACGUGUGCACACAAGCUGCGCACGCCCGGUCCGCCAGCACCCUAGCUGCUGCGGGCGCACACGCAACCCGCGGACGAACGUGCAGCCGGUGCGCACCGGCCGCCCGCGGGUGCAGCCGCGGCGGGGGUCGCAGAGCGGUCCACCUGAGGGGCAUCAGGGUCCAACCCCCGGCGUUCACCUGCGCUGGCCAGAGGCCGGGCGGUGGUGAGAACCAGGAGCGCAAGCAGCAGCCACAUCCUGCGCAGCAGCAAAGACGUCGCCAAGCCAGGGGUCGCGCACGGAGGAGGCCGCCGAGGAUGCCACGAUCAUGCCGGCCGGGAUUUUAUAGCGGAGCCGGGACCGGAGGGAGCCCCGACAGCGACUGCUCCAAACUUAAUUUCUAGGCAGAUCAAAGACCCUUCUUCCAACACAGAGAGAAGACGCCCCUAAAUUGUUGUGUGAGUGUUUACCUGAUGGCCAGAGCAAGGGGGCCUGAGGGGGCAGAACUGAGAAACGGAUUGCAACGCCGCUCAGUGAGAGAGAAACUUAUGGGGUCAGAGAGGUGGGGCCGGGUCUUGUUGAGCAUCCCCAGACCCCUGAGAUGAGAUGGGAAGAGAGGAGACUCCGGUCUGAAUGGACUCCUAGUUUUCUCAUCUGCCAGGAUCUUCGGAGGAGUCCAGGGGAAGGAAGUUUUCCUUGAAG
rnacentral:lncRNA from 1 species